rnacentral:lncRNA from 1 species
CGAAUAUUUUCAUCCUCCCUUCGGCCUUCCACUGCUCUUACAGUGCCAACUAUAAUUAAGCACUGCUACUUCCACCUUGAUUUCCAUGAGCCCAGUAAGGUUUAGCAGGGGUGCGUCGUAAUGCCCUCACUCCCAAUGGGUUGUCCUUGCUCUGUUGCAGAAAAUUCAAGAAAGCACAUAAGAAAAAUAAAAAAAUAAUCAAAAAGAGAAAACCAGGACUGCUAAAUUUAAACUUGAAAGCUCAAAAGAAAAACAUCAAACGAUUUCUUAAUAGAAUCAUGCAAUGCAACCAAAUAGCUUGAAUUUAAAACAUGAAUAUCGAAAUAUUUGCCCAUUGGUCUUUGGCACACUGCUGCAAAGCCUAGAGCAGCCAAGCGUACCAACAAAAUUUAGCAUAUCUUACCAUCAAGCAGGUCCCAGCACGAACAUUACAGAUGGGAUAGUCAUGUGGGCAGCAGCUAUAGUGGUCAUCACAGCAGGUGGCAGCCUCAAGCGGGCAGCAUCCCCAUGCAAAGCAAGAGUUACCAUACUCAAAGACACAGCAGCAAGUGUUGCUCUCAGGGCAAGAGUAAUAAUUGUCACACACAGCAGGAGGCUUUGUUGGAGAUGGAGGGGACGGUCCAGGGUUGGGAGGAUUUUGGCCUUUCUUUAUGGGAUAUGAGGCCUCCAUGGCAAUUCCACACUUGCCCGUGAGAGUGCCAGCCACGUUACGCUCCAUCCUAAUAUAGCCAGCCUCUCCCCAGCUACUGCCCCAUGAAUUCUUCACAAUCCAGUAAUCAGCUCCAUUUUCUGUGCCAUAUCCAACAGCAGUAACACCAUGGUCCAGAGAUGUCCCACAUCUUCCCGUAAAUAUACCCUGAAAAUUUGCAAAGACAGAAAAAUAUACUUGAGACUUCCUUAAAACAGAUCAGACACACACAAGACUCUUCCUGAUCCUGUUUAGAAACCAUUAGAAAUACAAUAAUUUUUGUUCAAAUACCAUCCAGUAUUGUCUCAACCAUAUCUUUUCAGAACUGCAAAAUGCAAAUACUUUGUAUCUAGAUAAUAGCAACAUUCCUAAAUCUAAAAUGUGACAAGUGCCAUGAAGAGAUGAAAGUUACCGAUUCAUAUAACUGGAAUGCCAUGCCACCUCCUUCAAUGGCAACACUCACGGGUUGAUUUGCAACUGCCUUUUGCAAAGCUUUCUCGUCAUUUAGGGGAACAUCUUCAUAGUCAUCAAUUGUAACUACUUUGGCAUUUUUCUG